UGGGAACCUUCCCUAUGGUUCGGAAUAGCCCAGGGAAACUUGGGGUAAUACCGAAUAAGCCCUUCGGGGGAAAGAUUUAUCGCCAUUGGAUGGGCCCGCGUCGGAUUAGCUAGUUGGUGAGGUAACGGCUCACCAAGGCAACGAUCCGUAACUGGUCUGAGAGGAUGAUCAGCCACACUGGAACUGAGACACGGUCCAGACUCCUACGGGAGGCAG
rnacentral:rRNA from 1 species